rnacentral:rRNA from 1 species
AGAGUUUGAUCCUGGCUCAGGACGAACGCUGGCGGCGCGCCUAACACAUGCAAGUCGAACGAGAGAGAGGGAGCGUGCUUCCUUGAUCAAGUGGCGAACGGGUGAGUAACGCGUGAGGAACCUGCCUCAAAGAGGGGGACAACAGUUGGAAACGACUGCUAAUACCGCAUAAGCCCACGACCCGGCAUCGGGAAGGGGGAAAAGGAGCAAUCCGCUUUGAGAUGGCCUCGCGUCCGAUUAGCUAGUUGGUGAGGUAACGGCCCACCAAGGCGACGAUCGGUAGCCGGACUGAGAGGUUGAACGGCCACAUUGGGACUGAGACACGGCCCAGACUCCUACGGGAGGCAGCAGUGGGGAAUAUUGCACAAUGGGGGAAACCCUGAUGCAGCGACGCCGCGUGGAGGAAGAAGGUCUUCGGAUUGUAAACUCCUGUUGUUGAGGAAGAUAAUGACGGUACUCAACAAGGAAGUGACGGCUAACUACGUGCCAGCAGCCGCGGUAAAACGUAGGUCACAAGCGUUGUCCGGAAUUACUGGGUGUAAAGGGAGCGCAGGCGGGCGAUCAAGUUGGAAGUGAAAUCCAUGGGCUCAACCCAUGAACUGCUUUCAAAACUGGUCGUCUUGAGUAGUGCAGAGGUAGGCGGAAUUCCCGGUGUAGCGGUGGAAUGCGUAGAUAUCGGGAGGAACACCAGUGGCGAAGGCGGCCUACUGGGCACCAACUGACGCUGAGGCUCGAAAGUGUGGGUAGCAAACAGGAUUAGAUACCCUGGUAGUCCACACCGUAAACGAUGAUUACUAGGUGUUGGAGGAUUGACCCCUUCAGUGCCGCAGUUAACACAAUAAGUAAUCCACCUGGGGAGUACGACCGCAAGGUUGAAACUCAAAGGAAUUGACGGGGGCCCGCACAAGCAGUGGAGUAUGUGGUUUAAUUCGACGCAACGCGAAGAACCUUACCAAGUCUUGACAUCCCUUGACAGACAUAGAAAUAUGUAAUCUCUUCGGAGCAAGGAGACAGGUGGUGCAUGGUUGUCGUCAGCUCGUGUCGUGAGAUGUUGGGUUAAGUCCCGCAACGAGCGCAACCCUUAUGGUCAGUUACUACGCAAGAGGACUCUGGCCAGACUGCCGUUGACAAAACGGAGGAAGGCGGGGACGACGUCAAAUCAUCAUGCCCCUUAUGUCCUGGGCUACACACGUAAUACAAUGGUGGUUAACAGAGGGAUGCAAGACCGUGAGGUGGAGCGAACCCCUAAAAGCCAUCCCAGUUAGACUGCAGGCUGCAACUCGCCUGCACGAAGUCGGAAUCGCUAGUAAUCGCGGAUCAGCAUGCCGCGGUGAAUACGUUCCCGGGCCUUGCACACACCGCCCGUCA